UUAGGGAUAACAGCGUAAUUUUUUUUUAGAGUUCAUAUCGACAAAAAAGAUUGCGACCUCGAUGUUGGAUUAAGAAUUAUUUUAGGUGUAGAAGUUUAAAAUUUAAGUCUGUUCGACUUUUAAAUUCUUACAUGAUCUGAGUUCAAACCGGUGUAAGCCAGGUUGGUUUCUAUCUUUAAUUGUUAUAUUAUAUUAUAGUACGAAAGGACCUAAUAUAAAAAAUAUUAAUUUUAAUAAUUAUGAAUAAUAAUAAAAUAAUUU
rnacentral:rRNA from 1 species